rnacentral:rRNA from 1 species
GAUCCUACGGGGGGCAGCAGUGGGGAAUAUUGCACAAUGGGGGAAACCCUGAUGCAGCGACGCCGCGUGAGUGGAGAAGUAUUUCGGUAUGUAAAGCUCUAUCAGCAGGGAAGAAAAUGACGGUACCUGACUAAGAAGCCCCGGCUAACUACGUGCCAGCAGCCGCGGUAAUACGUAGGGGGCAGGCGCUAUCCGGAUUUACUGGGUGUAAAGGGAGCGUUGGCGGCAAGGUAAGCGAGAAGUGAAAGCCCGCGGCUCAACUGCGGGACUGAU